GAGUUUGAUCUUGGCUCAGAACGAACGCUGGCGGCGUGGAUAAGACAUGCAAGUCGAACGGGAGAAUUGCUAGCUUGCUAAUAAUUCUCUAGUGGCGCACGGGUGAGUAACACGUGAGUAACCUGCCCCCGAGAGCGGGAUAGCCCUGGGAAACUGGGAUUAAUACCGCAUAGUAUCGAAAGAUUAAAGCAGCAAUGCGCUUGGGGAUGGGCUCGCGGCCUAUUAGUUAGUUGGUGAGGUAACGGCUCACCAAGGCGAUGACGGGUAGCCGGUCUGAGAGGAUGUCCGGCCACACUGGAACUGAGACACGGUCCAGACACCUACGGGUGGCAGCAGUCGAGAAUCAUUCACAAUGGGGGAAACCCUGAUGGUGCGACGCCGCGUGGGGGAAUGAAGGUCUUCGGAUUGUAAACCCCGUCAUGUGGGAGCAAAUUAAAAAAGAUAGUACCACAAGAGGAAGAGACGGCUAACUCUGUGCCAGCAGCCGCAGUAA
rnacentral:rRNA from 1 species